UCUGUUGAUACAUUUAAUAGAUAUAUGACAACCUGGUUUGGUGUCUCACUCACAGAAAAUAGAAGGUGCCACCUGUCCUGUGAAGAAUGACAAUCAGAUAGAGUGUAAUCUUCAACACCCUGUUUUCAAAAGAGGAGCACGGACCAACUUUUUCAUCUCAUGGCAUCUCAAUGACAUCAAAUCAGAUUUGAAGAAGUCUGAGAUUAUUGUCUUAUCUAACCAGGUUUGACAGCUGCAUUUCCAAAAAAGAAUUUCGUGUAGAAACUAUUUUUACUCAGAAAUUGCUAGUAAAGUAUACAAUUACAGAAAAACGUCAAGUGACACAUUUAAUUAGAUGUGAAAUUUUGAAGUAAAAUAGUGCUUUCUUGUAAAAUGUGCUCCAAUAAUCUUUUAAUUAAAUACGUUUACUUUUUUACAGUGUAUAAAAAUCAGCUUUUUUUAUUUUUAAACAUUUAUUUUGAAAACAUUUUCUCUGGUUUUAGUCAGAAUCAUGGCUCUGAAAUUCUGGACUAUAAAAUAUACGCAUUUGCUGUGAAGUAUUCCCUUCCAAUCCAGCUAACUGGCUCAGCCCAUCCAAGCAGACUUAGUAUUGAAGAGGGAGAAGAAGGAAAGACUCAGAAGCUGCAGUUUGUAUUUCAGUUUGCAGGUGAAAAUAAGUAUGGUGCUACAAUCAGUGUAGUUGUAACCAUAACAAAGGACACCUUCAAAACUGGUUUGGGCAUCAUUAGUGUCUCACCACACAAGGAGUGUGUUUUUUCAGAAAAUGCUAAAGCGGAGGGAUCCUAUGUCAUCAACUGUACUGUGACACAGCUGCAGAAAAUCAUCAUCGAUGCCAAUGUUUUGAUACAUGAUGAUCAGGAGAAAUCAAACAAGAUCACUGCCGUAGGAACAUACAGCUUUGAUGAGACCGUCUAUGCUGCGAAGGAUACUUCGAGGACCAUUCCAGUGGAGGUGAUAAUUACGAAGCUGCGCGUGACGACAUCUAAAGGUCCCAUCAUUGGAGGAUCCAUAGGCGGGUUUCUGCUCCUUUUCAUCAUCAUUAUCAUUCUCAUUAAGUGUGGCUUUUUCCGUCGCCGCCGUAAAGUGGACCAAGCACAGUCUCCAAACUCCACAGUCUCCACAGCCCAGGAGGGACAAUUUAUGUGACCCUGGACCACAAAAAAGUCUUAAGUCGCUGGAGUAUAUUUUUCGCUAUAGCCAAAAAAACAUUGUAUGGGUCAAAAUUAUCAAUUUUUCUUUUAUGCCAAAAAUCAUUAGGAUAUUAGGUAAAGAUCAUGUUCCAUAAAGAUAUUUAGUAAAUUUCCUGCCAUAAAUAUAUCAAAGCUUAAUUUUUGAUUAGUAAUAUGCAUUGCUAAGAAUUCAUUUGGACAAGUUUAAAGGCGAUUUUCUCAAUAUUUUGAUUUUAUUGCACCCUCAGAUUCCAGAUUUUCAAAUAGUUGUAUCUCGGCCAAAUGUUGUCCGAUCCUAACAAACCAUACAUCAAUGGAAAGAUAAUUUGUUCAGCUUUCAGAUGAUGUAUAAAUCUCAAUUUUGAAAAAUUGACACUUAAGAUUGGUUUUGUGGUCCAGGGCCACAUAUUACCAUAUAUUGCUUGAGUUUGUGUCAAAAAAUAUAUUGUUUGUAAGAUAAAAGUUAUAGUCUUGUUUUUAUUGUCACCCUGGCCCUUAUGUAGCCUCACCACAUUUCAGGCAUUAUAAUUUAGAUAAGAUGAAAAUGACAUUGAACAUUUGAGAAACGCCCCCUUUUUGGUCCUCAGAGACCUAGGCUACUUGAAUUUAUCAUUGCGUUUUCUGACUUGUUAUAUUGUUUUUGGAAUUGUUAUUGUGUUUUCUGAAUCGGUAUUUUGUUUUUUUAGAUUUGCAUUUGUGUUUGUAAUUUGUUUUCAGGAUUGUGAUUUGUUUUGCACUUCUCGGCCACCGUAUGAUUCAGCUAUAUAAAUGUACAGAAAUAUAAUCUAAACAUUAAUAUCCCUUAUGAAAAUUAUUAUUACUAUGGUUUUACUAAAUAAAUACCAUGGUAUUUGUAGUAAAGCUGCCGUUAUAGAAAUGGUAACCUGCAAAAAACCAUAGCUAGUUACCACAAUUUUACUAUAGUAAAACCAACUUUAAUUUUCGUAAGGGAUAUCAUAGUUUAUUAUCAUAUUUAUGUUUAUAUAUAGCAUAGUUUAUAUACACGCCUUGUGUAUAGAGCUUUUUCAUGUUUCAACCAAUAUUUUACACUCUGAAUACCGGAAGAUUUUUGUCUGACAAUGGCCUGUUUGGAAAAAUCCAACUAAAAUUAUGUAGCUUUUUACAUAUCGCCAAGCAGCAUUUAAACUCAUGAAGUUAAGAAAUAAAGGCUACUGUCAAGAAUUAUGUUAGUGGCUCUUCAAAAUGCAAACUUUUGUCAUCUGAGUCACUCCUGAGAAGAGUCCUCGCUGUCCAGAGUGUGUCUUCUUCGCCAGUGUAGCGCACCAUCACAUGCAGAAAAAGAAAGUAGGCCAAAAUCUAUGAUGAAGCUUAAUGUUUUGAUGCCAUUUUUCGGAGGCAUCCACACAUUUACCUGGCUGACCUCAGAUCAUUAACAUGUGAACAGAGCGCUCAGUGUGAGGCGGGAUCACAUUAGCAAUAAUGGAGUGAGACAGGAGAAACUGUACCUCUUCUUACUUUCACACGGAUUGUAUAAUCAGAGAAUAUUUGUUUUCAAUUUGAAUUUGGUUUAUUUAAAAGUAGACAUUUCAAGCUUUCUAUACAUAUAUGUAUUGUGUAUGUGAGGCACACAUAUUCACAGAGAUUCAGGUUGUUUUUAUUCAUGUGCCUGUGAAGAAAGUUCCCGGAGACCGAGACGGCAGAAAGUGCACCCUGUUUGUUUUCUUUACUUUACAAAAAACAUUGUUUUGUUGUUAUUGUGAUUAUACACAAAUAAAAGUAGACCCUUUGCAGUUUCAAACGAUUCUAUACUCGGAUCUGUGUUUUUAGUUCUUUUUGACCCCAAAAAUUAUUUUCUAAUCAUCACAUUGUUAAAAUCAUUCUGAAAUCCUGG
ensembl:lncRNA